GUGACAUUGGCCAAUCACAAAUGCCACAAUGCUUGUGAAAGAGAGAGAAACACAAGCAUUGCGGCAUUGUGAUUGGCCAAUGUCAC
rnacentral:pre_miRNA from 1 species